rnacentral:miRNA from 1 species
AUAGCUCUGAAAAUGGCGCUG